ACGCUCGACACCUACGGGACGCAGCAGUGGGGAAUAUUGCACAAUGGGGGAAACCCUGAUGCAGCGACGCCGCGUGAGCGAAGAAGUAUUUCGGUAUGUAAAGCUCUAUCAGCAGGGAAGAAACUGACGGUACCUGACUAAGAAGCACCGGCUAAAUACGUGCUAGCAGCCGCGGUAAUCUGAGCGGGCUGGCAAGGC
rnacentral:rRNA from 1 species